CUGAAACUGUUAAGUAAAAACAGAGUAUUGCAAAAUAAAGUGCAGAAAUAGAAAUAGAGGAUGCGCAGAAAAACCCUAACUCCUUCAUAGUGCCGUUGGAGGAAAUCUCGGAAGCAUGGGUGAAGUGGAGACAGUUUCCAAGUUGAAAAUCAAACGUUACCCUUUCAACCUUGGAUCGUGGCCGCACGAAUCGGAAGUUGGGCGCCUCCGCACUGUUGGAUUUUUGAACGUUGUAGAUCGUUACGAGAGGAGUGGGAGGUUGACUCCUUCCUUCACGCUGGCCUUCCCUCUUCUGCGGCGACAACCUUGAACCCACUAGGGUUUGAAGAGGCGCCACCCUUGGGGGUUCUCCAUCUAUAAAUACCGUUUUCCCCUCUUCAGAAAACGCAACUCUCACUACUUCAUCUUCUUCCUCCGCUCACCAUCUUCUUCUUUCCCCAAUUUCCACUUUUCACUUUCUCUCUCCUCUUUAUUUUAAUAUUAUAAUAUUUUUGGGUUCUAUUUGGUAUUACUCUUUUAAAGAGAAACUUGCUAGUUCUGAUCCUCGGAAAUUACCGGGAAGUUCCUGUUGUAUCCUGGGGGACUUGCGCAAUACAUCGCGGAUAAGUCCUUACGGACAGUGAUUACUCACCCCUCGGGAAACUAUUUUUUGUUCGUUUUAAAGCCUGAAUAUCUACAAUCGUAAGGACUUAUGGCUGAAAAUCCGAACAACAACGACAACACUGCUCCGGAAACAUCAAAUGUUGUUUCCGCAACGCAAACCAUUUUUGCGAAACCAUUUCUGGACGUCUCCAAAAUUGAAGUCUUCACCGGUCAGAACUUCCGACGUUGGCAAGAACGCGUGUCCACCCUAUUGGACAUGUACGGAGUUGCUCAUGCACUUACAACUGCCAAACCUGACUCAACCACGGCUGCGAAACAAGUUGACGACUGGAUCCAUGCGAAUAAGGUAUGCNNNNNNNNNNNNNNNNNNNNNNNNNNNNNNNNNNNNNNNNNNNNNNNNNNNNNNNNNNNNNNNNNNNNNNNNNNNNNNNNNNNNNNNNNNNNNNNNNNNNACUUUACUCAGUGUGUUAUCUAACGAUCUGUUCGAUGUUUAUGCUUCUUAUAAGAAUGCGAAAGAUAUUUGGGAUUCUCUUAUCCUCAAAUAUACUGCCGAAGACAUCGUCAAACAAAGGUUCGUAAUUGCAAAAUACUACCGCUGGGAGAUGAUCGAAGGCAAAGACAUCAAAAUCCAAAUAAACGAAUAUCACAAGCUGAUUGAAGAUAUCAAAACUGAAAGCAUAAAAUUGCUAGAUGAAUUCGUGUCCGAACUCUUGAUCGAAAAGCUUCCGCAGUCUUGGACGGAUUACAAACAACAACUGAAGCACAAACAUAAACAGAUGUCUCUAUCAGAUUUGAUCACCCACAUCAUCAUUGAAGACACAAACAGGAAGGAGUGCGCUGCUGCAAAGGCCAAAGCUUUGUCUGCCAAAGCAAACGUGAUAGAAGACAAACCAGCUCCAAAAAGGUACGAGAAAAAAUUUGAUCACAAAAAGAAACCUAAUAACAAAUUUUCUCGUCCCAGUGGAACUAACCCCACUUUCAAGAAAAAAAGGAAAUUGCUUUGUCUGUGGAAAGCCAGGCCAUCAUGCACCUCAGUGCAGACAUAGGGCUAAAAACGACUAUCCUCCUAAGGCAAAUCUAGCCGAUGGGGAAGAUACUAUUGUGGCAGUCGUUUCACAAGUAAACCUUGUGACAAAUGUGAGCAAAUGGGUGGUAGACUCUGGGGCUACCAGACACAUCUGUGCAAACAAAAAUGUGUUCACCUCCUACACAAGUGUGGGGGAUGGAGAAGAACAAGUAUAUCUCGGUGACUCCAGGACAACUCCUGUCCUAGGAAAAGGAAAAGUUCUUCUGAAGCUCACAUCUGGUAAAACUCUAGCUUUGAAUGAUGUGCUACAUGUGCCAUCAAUUAGAGUUAAUUUGGUCUCUAUGGCAUUACUAAGCAAAGUUGGGGUUAAAGUGUCAUUUGAAUCUGACAAGAUUGUUAUGACAAAAAACAAUGUUUUUGUGGGAAAGGGAUAUUGUGAUCAAGGCCUUUUUGUAUUAAACAUUUCUGAAAUUAUGAAUGAAUCUAAAUCUUAUGCUUAUAUAGUUGACUCGUAUGAUAUAUGGCAUGCUAGAUUAGGACAUGUGAAUUCUUCGUAUGUUAUAAAAUUGCAACGACUAAGAUUAAUCAACAUGCAUGACAAACAAAGUAGUAAAUGUGAUGUAUGCGUAGAAUCUAAAAUAACGAAGAAAACAUGUCACUCUGUAGAACGUCAAACUGAAAUUCUUGGUUUAAUUCAUACCGACCUUNNNNNNNNNNNNNNNNNNNNNNNNNNNNNNNNNNNNNNNNNNNNNNNNNNNNNNNNNNNNNNNNNNNNNNNNNNNNNNNNNNNNNNNNNNNNNNNNNNNNACCAUUUUUAGAGGUGGUAAAAAUUAUUUUGUAACCUUUAUAGAUGAUUUUUCUAGAUACACCAAAGUUUAUUUAAUUAAACAUAAGGAUGAAGCUUUUGACAUGUUUUUAACUUAUAAAGCGGAAGUAGAAAAUCAACUUAAUAAGAAAAUUAAGAGAAUUAGAUCAGAUAGAGGUGGUGAAUAUGUUUUAUUUAAUGACUAUUGUGUAAAAGAAGGUAUUAUUCAUGAAGUAACCCCACCAUAUUCACCUGAGUCUAAUGGAGUAGCUGAAAGGAAAAAUAGGACUCUUAAAGAAAUGAUGAAUGCCAUGCUUAUUAGUUCUGAUGCUCCUGAUAAUUUAAUGGGUGAAUCUCUGCUUACUGCGUGUUUUUUACAAAAUAGGAUACCACAUAGGAAAACUGGUAAAACACCCUAUGAGUUGUGGAAAGGUUAUCAACCUAAUUUGAAAUACCUAAGAGUGUGGGGGAGUUUAGCUAAAGUGAUGUUACCUGAUCCUAAGAAAAGGAAAAUAGGCUCUAAAACAUCUGAUUGUAUGUUCUUAGGAUAUGCAGAACAUAGUGCUGCCUAUAGGUUUCUAGUUCUUAAUAGUGAUAUAAUUGAACGCAACACUAUAGUAGAGACAAAAAAUGCUGAGUUCUUUGAACACAUCUUUCCUCUAAAGAGUAGUGGUACAUCUGAACAACCUAUAGAUAGUGCUAAUGAUACCUUGAGUGAGGAUGUUAGGAGAAGUAAAAGACAGAGAAAGGAAACAUCUUUUGGAGAUGACUUUUAUACUUAUCUAGUUGAGAAUGAUCCAAUAAGUUUUGUAGAAGCUACUAGUGCUCCUGAUGCUAAACAUUGGGAUAAGGCCAUUAAAACUGAGCUUGAAUCAAUUAAGAAAAAUAAUACGUGGACCUUAGUAGAUCUGCAUGAAGGAGCAAAACCUAUUGGUUGUAAGUGGAUCUUUAAGAAGAAGUACCAUCCUGAUGGAUCCAUAGAGAAAUAUAAGGCAAGAUUAGUUGCUAAAGGGUUUACUCAAAAACAUAACAUAGAUUACUUUGAUACUUUUGCACCUGUUACUAGGAUUUCCUCUAUUCGUGUAUUGCUAGCCUUAGCAUCUAUCCAUAAGUUAGUAAUUCACCAAAUGGAUGUUAAAACAGCUUUUCUGAAUGGUGAAUUAGAAAAGGAAAAAGUAUGCAAACUUUUAAAAUCUUUGUAUGGUUUGAAACAAGCACCAAAACAAUGGCAUGAAAAACUUGAUAAUAUUUUACUUUGUGAAGGUUUUUCUACCAAUGAUGCUGAUAAAUGUGUAUAUUCUAGAUCUGAAAAUGGUGAAUAUGUCAUUAUAUGUUUGUAUGUGGAUGACAUGCUAAUUUUUGGUACAUGCAAUGAUAUAGUUUUUCAAACAAAAUUGUUUCUUGGAUCUAAGUUUGAGAUGAAAGACAUGGGUGAAGCAAGUGUGAUUCUAGGAGUUAAAAUCAUAAGGAAGGGAGAUAGUAUAUUACUAUCCCAAGAAAAAUACACUGAGAAACUUCUAAAGAAGUUUGGUUACUAUGACUUUAAGUCAAUGAGUACCCCUUAUGAUGCUAACUCUAAAUUAAAGAAGAACAGAGGAGAAUCUAUUUUUCAAACUCAGUAUGCCCUGAUAAUUGGGAGCUUAUUGCAUUUAAUGAGCUUUUCUAGACCAGAUAUUGCUUAUGCAGUAGGUAGAUUGAGUAGAUACACUCAAUGUCCUAGUCAGGAUCAUUGGGAAGCACUUGCGAGACUCAUGAAAUACUUGAGAGGUACAAUGGAUUAUGCCAUUGAAUAUAGUGGAUUUCCCGCUGUGCUAGAAGGGUACAGUGAUGCUAACUGGAUCUCUGAUUCAGAUGAGACAAAAUCCACUAGUGGUUAUGUAUUUACACUUGGGGGUGGUGCAGUUACAUGGAGAUCAGCCAGGCAAACUAUUAUCGCAAGAUCAACAAUGGAAUCUGAGUUUGUUGCUCUAGAAAUGGCUGGUAGUGAAGCUGAGUGGUUGAAAAACUUCUUAGCAAACAUUCCUUUAGGAAUGAAACUAACCCCAUCUGUAUCAAUGCAUUGUGAUUGCCAAUCGGCAAUAGCUAUAGCUAAAAAUAAAAGCUAUAAUGGAAAGAAUAGACAUAUACAAUUGAGACACAAUUUGGUGAAACAGCUGUUAAAGAGUGGAACGAUUUCUAUUGACUAUGUCAAGUCAGAACGGAAUCUGGCAGAUCCUCUGACAAAACCCCUAGGGAGAAAAAUGAUUUUAGAAACAUCGAGGGGAAUGGGACUUAAGCCACUUGCAAACAAACAAGUGAUGGAAACCCAACCUUUGUGAUUGGAGAUCCCAUGAAUAAGGUUCAUAUGGGUAAAAACAAGUCACUUGUUAGUUCUGCUAGCACUAAUAUUGAUUUUAAUCAAUUUUGUCCAUUCCUAUGGUGUGUGUGAAAGUGCUAGAUACUGCAUUAUCGAGAGGAUAAACUUUGUGGUUAAAAUUCAGAAGUAAAAGAGUUUUAACGAUUUACAAAGUUUUAAUGAUUUUCAUAUCCCUUAUGGGUGGUGUGUGAUUUGCAGCAUACACUUGAUGAAAUCACCUAUAUGAGUGUCAAGUGGGGUCGCUUGCAUGAGAUCUUGGCAAGAUCUCUAUAGCACUCAUGAAUACCGGGCACGCGCAUGGCCUAUUAGCGCAACACAGCGAUAACAGCAAGUAAUGUGGGGGUGUAUUGUGAUUGAUAAACCUCUAACACAUACUAAGUGUCUUGGUUCAUAUAGCUUGCUAUACCAACUACACUAUGUGUUACGUUCAUUAAUCUAAGACUGGUUCAUAUAGCUUGCUAUACCAGAUCUGAUGCAUUACAUCUUAGAUGAACCCAAUUUUUUUUUCUUCUUAUCUCUAUGUUUUAUCUUUUGCAAUAUGUGGGGGAUUGUUGUAAAAACAGAGUAUUGCAAAAUAAAGUGCAGAAACAGAAAUAGAGGAUGCGCAGAAAAACCCUAACUCCUUCAUAGUGCCGUUGGAGGAAAUCUCGGAAGCAUGGGUGAAGUGGAGACAGUUUCCAAGUUGAAAAUCAAACAUUGCCCUUUCAACCUUGGAUCGUGGCCGCAUGAAUCGGAAGUUGGGCGCCUCCGCACUGUUGGAUUUUUGAACGUUGUAGAUCGUUACGAGAGGAGUGGGAGGUUGACUCCUUCCUUCACGCUGGCCUUCCCUCUUCUGCGGCGACAACCUUGAACCCACUAGGGUUUGAAGAGGCGGCACCCUUGGGGGUUCUCCAUCUAUAAAUACCGCUUUCCCCUCUUCAGAAAACGCAACUCUCACUACUUCAUCUUCUUCCUCCGCUCACCAUCUUCUUCUUUCCCCAAUUUCCA
rnacentral:lncRNA from 1 species